CUUACUGAACAACGAAUUAAAACAACAAAAUGCACAUUACCAUACCCAAAAAAUAUUGUUGGAUUGAAAAUUAAUUAUUUAUCAAUGCCUGAUACAAUGACAUGAAGUGCGAUCAUCCAGCAGACUAUUUCAUCCACAGUUUAGACUUUAGACCAACAGAGACCUAGAAACAGCAUCUACCAUGAAAGGCAUGACUAAUUAAAAAUGGGGGCAAAAGUAGUGGUGUCACUAUCAUGAUGUACAGAAAACAAGGAUGUAAAUGUCAGCAAAAGACCAGAGCAUCCCAAAUUAAAUGAGAGUAGAAAUAAAAAUGAAAAAAACAAAUUAAAUUAAUUAGUCAAUCGCAACCAAGUUCAAAACUGUUGAAGAUAUACUGAAGAAAAGGGAGAGAGGGAGGCUGAACCAAGUUCCCACUUCCUUGACUCUCCACCUAAAUCUACUUUAAAAUCUCUCAAAAAUUCAAGAAACCCUUAAAAAAGAAUCUUGAAAACAAAAAGCCCAGCAAUUAGAAAGCAGAGAAGGCGAAGAUGAAGAGGGAGGCUGAAAUUCAAGGAACUCUCAAAACUAAGUGCACUUAAACAUAAUGGAGAGGAGAUCCAUGACUUACUGUGUAAUGCAUAAAUUACAGGAACGGUGAUUCUAUAUCCCACCAUAAUCAACACAAAAUCACAUGGAUAGCAUGCCAAUAACAAGUGUAGAAAAAUGCAGAACUUAUAUAACUAUUGGCGACAUAAUUCAGUUAUCACAGAGCUUACUUAAUUAUAAGAAUAUAAAAACUAAGAUGCCAUAAAAUAGGUGCCUCCCUCUCUUGAAAAGCGGGAGGAAUACUUAGUAAGUAUGAAUGGGAAACUAAAUACAUGGUGACUUGAUCAAGAGAAAAAAAACAUAGUUGGCUUCUAGAAAAAAGAAGCAUGUGAAAACUCAAAAGACAGAAUUUAAAGCCACCACAGAGGGGCUAGGGCUUCCGGUGGAGACGAAGGAGGGGGGGGGGCGAGAGAG
rnacentral:lncRNA from 1 species